UUGAAGGGUUUGAUUCUGGCUCAGAAUGAACGUUGGCGGCGUGGAUUAGGCAUGCAAGUCGAGCGAGAACCGUAGCAAUACGGGGACAGCGGCGAAAGGGACAGUAAUGUGUAGGUACCUACCCCUGGGUUCGGGAUAGCUGCGGGAAACUGCAGGUAAUACCGAAUAAUGUCUCAGGACCAAAGGUGUGAUUCCACCUGGGGAGGGGCCUGCAUCCUAUUAGCUAGUUGGCGGGGUAACGGCCCACCAAGGCAACGAUGGGUAGCGGGUGUGAGAGCACGACCCGCGUCAUUGGGACUGAGAUACUGCCCAGACACCUACGGGUGGCUGCAGUCGAGGAUCUUCGGCAAUGGGCGAAAGCCUGACCGAGCGACGCCGCGUGUGGGAUGAAGGCCUUCGGGUUGUAAACCACUGUCAACGGGGAGGAAGUGUAGGGGGGUACUCCCCUCUAUUUGACCUAUCUGUGGAGGAAGUACGGGCUAAGUUCGUGCCAGCAGCCGCGGUAAGACGAACCGUACGAACGUUAUUCGGAAUUACUGGGCUUAAAGGGUGCGUAGGCGGCGCGGUAAGUUGGGUGUGAAAGCCCUCAGCUCAACUGAGGAACUGCACUCAAAACUACCGUGCUCGAGGGAGACAGAGGUAAGCGGAACUCAAGGUGGAGCGGUGAAAUGCGUUGAUAUCUUGAGGAACACCGGUGGCGAAGGCGGCUUACUGGGUCUUUUCUGACGCUGAGGCACGAAAGCUAAGGUAGCAAACGGGAUUAGAUACCCCGGUAGUCUUAGCUGUAAACGAUGAGCACUUGAUUGAAGGGUCCUCCAUAGCCUUUCAGUCGUAGCGAAAGUGUUAAGUGCUCCGCCUGGGGAGUAUGGUCGCAAGGCUGAAACUCAAAGAAAUUGACGGGGGCUCACACAAGCGGUGGAGGAUGUGGCUUAAUUCGAGGCUACGCGAAGAACCUUAUCCUAGUCUUGACAUGUAUGGAUUAA
rnacentral:rRNA from 1 species